AGCUCAGUUAGUAGAGUACUUGCCUUCUAUGCAAAAGGCCUGGGUUCAAUCCCCAG
rnacentral:tRNA from 1 species